CCUACGGGAGGCUGCAGUGAGGAAUAUUGGUCAAUGGACGAGAGUCUGAACCAGCCAAGUAGCGUGAAGGAUGACUGCCCUAUGGGUUGUAAACUUCUUGUAUAAAGGAAUAAAACGAGGCACGUGUGCCUUGUUGCAUGUACGUUAUGAAUAAGGAUCGGCUAACUCCGUGCCAGCAGCCGCGGUAAUACGGAGGAUCCGAGCGUUAUCCGGCUUUAUUGGGGUUAAAGGGAGCGUAGAUGGGUUGUUACGUCAGUUGUGAAAGUUUGCGGCUCAACCGUAAAAUUGCAAUUGAUACUGGCAGUCUUGCGUACAGUUGCGGUCGGCGGUAUUCGUGGUGUAGCGGU
rnacentral:rRNA from 1 species